rnacentral:rRNA from 1 species
UACGUAGGGUCCGAGCGUUGUCCGGAAUUAUUGGGCGUAAAGGGCUCGUAGGCGGUUUGUCGCGUCGGGAGUGAAAACACGGGGCUUAACCCCGUGCCUGCUUCCGAUACGGGCAGACUAGAGGUAUGCAGGGGAGAACGGAAUUCCUGGUGUAGCGGUGAAAUGCGUAGAUAUCGGGAGGAACACCAGUGGCGAAGGCGACUACCUGGCCUGUUCUUGACGCUGAGGCGCGAAAGCUAGGGGAGCAAACGGG